AACGCACAUUGCGCCCUCUGGUAGCCCCGGGGGCAUGCCUGUUUGAGCGUCAGGAGGGGAGAACGAGCUCGGGUCGCCCGGCCUGUCCCGGCGACACCGGUCAUAGGGGAUCGUGGCGUCAGCCUCGCCACGCCUCCGAAUUGCAUCUCAUGGCGGAACCAUCCAGCCCGUGCCCGGCGUAGUAAUCCUACCUUCUCGACGGGUCCACGCCUGGCAGUUCCUGCCGAUCAAACCCAGCCACGCCUUCACAAAACCCGACGACUUCAAAUCAGGUAGGGAUACCCGCUGAACUUAA
rnacentral:misc_RNA from 1 species